UUUUAGUGGCAUUUAAAAUCAAACAGUUGGGGAAAAAAAUGGCUCACUUAAGAUCAUGAGAAAGAGUUUUUAGAAAGAGCUGCUGGCCCUGCUCUGAGGUGGGAGAACCGGAUUUACCAGCUGAAGGAGCAUUUUAACCAGCCUAGAGAACCUUCCUUGUUGCCCGGAUGCAAUGAACGCAUGGAAAAAUAAACGAGCAGAAACUAAGUACUGCUCACGUCGACAUUUUGUUGGAAUUGUAAAAUAAAGACUUCGAACCACUUUACCUCUUACCUAAAAAUUAGGUUUGUUAAUUUUAAAAUUGCUCCAACAGAUCCCUGUAAAGUACCAAGGGGGAGACAGGCAUUUUUUUUUUUUUUCUCCAACACAAUUUUCCAAAGGCGAGGGGAAAUUCUUGCGGACCUGUUCAGGAAACACCACUUAUCUUAGCAGCGUCUGCAGGCCUAGAGGGCCAGGAGGUGCAGGAGAGAGUGCCGGAUGCCUGAAAGAAAUCUGAAGGAGGAGGGGGCGUGAGGGCAAAGAGGAAGAGAAAACCAUGAUGAAAAGAAGGCAGAGUCACGACAGGAAACAAGUCACCUCCGUGGAUUUUAACAUUCUGCACAGUGACGCCAACGGAGGCAUUCGGCUGAAGUCUUGCCACUUCCUUGGGACUAGUCCUUCCAGACCAAAGAAAAGGGGGGAGGAACAGAACUGAAAUCACAGCGGAGUUUAGAAGUGAGACAGAAGUGGAUCGUUAAUGAUGAAAAAACAUCUGGUAACUGCUGCUUUAGAAUACAGAGCAAAUUCUUGUCAAAUCAAGCAGAGUCGACCAUGUCAUGUAUCCCGGACAACGAUGCGAAACCCCAGCCCUCAAGGGGCCCAGUGCUUUCCCCUCACAGCAGCAGAAGAUGCCGACGUACUAGCCAACAGCGCCUCCCGCGCACCUGCUUCCACCUCCGUCUGAAGCCCCGUUUCCUCUUCCCCCCAACCUCAUUUCCAACACUGGCCCACGCAGGUAAAGAGUUCCUUGUCCCCAAGCCUCUUGCCAGAAUGCGCUCUCCAGGGCUCUCAACCCCAUGCGUUCAAGACCCAUUCGCACCUGUCUUUCUUUGCAGCCUUUUGGCUUCCCUUAGCUGUGAGAGCCCACAGCUUUUCGUGAGGUCUUCCCUGGGGCUUGAACGCUCGCUACCAUUCUGAGUGCACACGGCCCUUAUCUUUCCUGUACCUGCCUCUCCCCCUCGACUGUAAGCCCUUGGGGUUGGGGGGAAGGAGGAUAUCCCCUUGGACUCCCUCACCUCUACUAAUAACUAAUAAACAUUUCAGUAAAAGAAGCCAAA